GCAAGUAGAGUGGCGAACGGGUGAGUAAUGCAUCGGAACAUAUCCAGUAGCGGGGGAUAACCUGUCGAAAGAUAGGCUAAUACCGCAUACGACCUACGGGUGAAAGCGGAGGACCGCAAGGCUUCGCACUAUUGGAGCGGCCGAUAUCGGAUUAGCUAGUUGGUGGGGUAAAGGCCUACCAAGGCGACGAUCUAUAGCUGGUCUGAGAGGAAGAUCAGCCACACUGGGACUGAGACACGGCCCAGACUCC
rnacentral:rRNA from 1 species